rnacentral:rRNA from 1 species
GACGAACGCUGGCGGCGUGCUUAACACAUGCAAGUCGAACGGAAAGGCCCUGCUUUUGUGGGGUGCUCGAGUGGCGAACGGGUGAGUAACACGUGAGUAACCUGCCCUUGACUUUGGGAUAACUUCAGGAAACUGGGGCUAAUACCGGAUAGGAGCUCCUGCUGCAUGGUGGGGGUUGGAAAGUUUCGGCGGUUGGGGAUGGACUCGCGGCUUAUCAGCUUGUUGGUGGGGUAGUGGCUUACCAAGGCUUUGACGGGUAGCCGGCCUGAGAGGGUGACCGGCCACAUUGGGACUGGGAUACGGCCCAGACUCCUACGGGAGGCAGCAGUGGGGAAUAUUGCACAAUGGGCGGAAGCCUGAUGCAGCAACGCCGCGUGCGGGAUGACGGCCUUCGGGUUGUAAACCACUUUCGCCUGUGACGAAGCGUGAGUGACGGUAAUGGGUAAAGAAGCACCGGCUAACUACGUG